rnacentral:ncRNA from 1 species
GGCCAAGUUUUUAAGGGCGCACGGUGGAUGCCUUGGCACCAGGAACCGAUGAAGGACGUGGGAGGCCACGAUACGUCCCGGGAGUCGUCAACCAGGCUU